UGCAUCGGCCGGGAAUCGAACCCGGGCCGUUCGCUUGGCAAGCGAGCAUUCUACCACUGAGCCACCGAUGC
rnacentral:tRNA from 1 species